UACGGAGGGUGCAAGCGUUAUCCGGAUUCACUGGGUUUAAAGGGUGCGUAGGCGGGCAUUUAAGUCAGUGGUGAAAUACCUGAGCUUAACUUGGGAACUGCCAUUGAUACUAUUUGUCUUGAAUGUCGUGGAGGUUAGCGGAAUAUGUCAUGUAGCGGUGAAAUGCUUAGAUAUGACAUAGAACACCGAUAGCGAAGGCAGCUUACUACAGGAUGAUUGACGCUGAGGCACGAAAGCGUGGGGAGCAAACAGG
rnacentral:rRNA from 1 species